rnacentral:rRNA from 1 species
UACGUAGACCUCGAGCGUUAUCCGGAUUUACUGGGCGUAAAGCGUGCGUAGGUGUCUUCGCAAGUCUCUGGUGAAAUCUCUCCGCCUAACGGAGAAACUGUCAGAGAAACUGCGAAGAUAGAGUAUGACAGAGGCAGAUGGAAUUCCCGGUGUAGCGGUAAAAUGCGUUGAUAUCGGGAAGAACACCAGUGGCGAAGGCGAUCUGCUGGGUCAUCACUGACACUGAGGCACGAAAGCGUGGGUAGCGAACGGG